rnacentral:lncRNA from 1 species
AGGUUUCAGAAGAAUCCAUCAAAUUCAGUCAUUUAAUUUAACUAUACAUAUAUUCCUCAUCAUGUGGACCUCUCAAUUUGAGUCCUGAAACAGCAACUAUUCUCUCGAAUCAAAUUCAAAACCCUAUUCAUCACUUUCUCUCUCAUUCCCUCUCGUUAACAAGAUUACAAACAAGACGCCUAUUCUCUCUCAUCCACUUAUUCAUUUUACCUAGAUACUUCCUUAUCCGGCUUUUGAUAUCAUUUUCACUGAAUCCGUAUGAAUGAACUAAAAAAUUCACUAAUAAAUAGCUAAAUAUUUUGUUAGGGUAGGCUUGAACCCUGUAAAAAACUGAAUAUAACCCCA